GUCUCCGUAGUUCAACGGAUAGAACGUCUCCCUCCGAAGGAGGAAAUAGCUGUUCAAAUCAGCUCGGAGACA
rnacentral:tRNA from 1 species